UUUGUUUGGGGUCAUUUGACCAGUAGCCCUGGAAAGACAGCUGCCCUUGCUCUCUGCCUGGACACUGUCUGCUAGGCACUGUCUCCAGCCCACAGAGGUGAAUAAACCUCCCAGGCUCCAUCAGAGAAAUCAGGCUGGGAACUGGGCUGGUCUUAGCAGGAUGAAGCUGUCUAUCAGAAUGGCUAGGACUCCAAGGAGGAAAGAUUUCCAUGGCACAGGGAAACAAUGAAACUCUGAAAUGGAGAAACUGCAUCAUUUUCCACAUCAGAGUAAAGUUCAGACUUCAGAACGAUUUCAUCAAAGUCGGAUUCAGGAGUCUGCCCAAAGCCACAGGAACGAGUGAGUGUUGGAGCUAGGAUUUGAACCCAAAAAAAGAAAGAAAGUGAAGUCGCUCAGUCAUGUCUAACUCUCUGUGACGCCAUGGACUACAACCUACCAGGUUCCUCUGUCCAUGGGAUUUUCCAGGCAAGAAUAUGGGGUGGGUUGCCAUUUCCUUCUCCAGGGGAUCUUCGGGACCCAGGGACUGAACCCAGGUUUCCUGCAUUGCAGGCAGAUGCUUUACCGUCUGAGCCACCAGGGAAACCAGGAUUUGAACCCAUGUUUCUCUGAAAGGAAAGCUCAUGCCUUUUUUUUUUUUUUUGACUGCCCUGGGUCUUCCUUUCUGUUCGCAGGCUUUCUCUCCAGUGGUUUCUCUUGUUGCUGAGCACAGAUUCUAGAGCAUGCAGGCCUCAGGAGUUGUAGAUCCCAGGCUCUAGGGCACAGGCUCAGUUGUUGUGGCACAUGGGCUUCAUUGCUCUGCAGCAUGUGGGAUCCUCUGGGACCAGGGAUCGAACCCAUGUCCCUUGCGUUGGCAAGUGGAUUCUUAACUACUGGACUACCAGGGAAUUCCAAGCCCAUGCUUCUAACCACAAAGCUUCAGCCCCUCAAGUGUUCAUUAAGGCUGGAGACCCACUACAACCCUGGAAGCAGCACACGAGCACAAGCACUCAAAACAGGAUAAACUGGGGAGAGGCUUUUGGCUUCCAAGAUCAAAGACAAACCUGAAGGAUUCAAAGCUGGAGCCAGAGAGGGCGGCAUUAGACUGCCCACUGUUUUCCUAUCCCUGCCUCUUCCCCGCGGCAGGAGAAUGCUCUUCCCUAGGAUCAUGCCCCCUGCCUGCCUGGGCUGACUGCAGACGAGCAGGAAAGCAGGGUUUCGACUAACAGCUCUCACCAACUAUUGCCAACACAGAUGAAUUAAGACACCAGCUGAAGGGGUUUCUCUGAUGGGAAAACAACCUUGGUUGUUCCAUAGAAACAAAGAAUCCACCUGCCAGUGGGGUUCAGUUUCUGAUCUGGGAUGAUCCCAGACGCCGCGGAGCAACGGAGCCUGGGAACCACAACUACCGAAGCCCACGUGCCCUAGAGCCUGUGCUCCGCAACAGAGAAGCCACUGCAGAGAGAAGCAGCCCACACACUGCAACCAGAGAAAAGCCCUGGCAGCCAAAAUAAGGAAAUAAAAUUACUUUUAAAAAAAUAAAAAGAAACACCAGGGUGAGCCCGUCCGGUCUCCACAUGCGAAUCACCUGUCUGGAGGGCACGUGGGAACCACGGUGCUCAUUCCUGCCUGACUUGACGAGUGAGGAGAGAGAGAGGACCUCGGAUUUGUAUAAAGAGCAGGGACAAGAGGUCUCAGCUGAGCCACCCCUCCUUCUAGAAGUUUCCUGUGAUUCCACCCCCAAGUCCAGGGGAGCUGCCUCUGCUUCGAGCUCCCAUGUGUCCUCCACACACCCCUUCAAUGCAUCUCUCAUGGUGACUUGUGAUCUCGCUGGGUUGUGGCAUCUCCCGUUAGGACUACUUCAGGGCAGAGACCGAAACUUUUCCACCUUAGCGUCCCCAGCACAGCACCAGGCCUACACAUGUGCCAAGCCACAUGGACAUGUGGAGAGAACAUUCACCCUCUUGUGGGAGCCACCGCCUCCCAUCAGGAGGACCAGAAAAUCCAGAUCACUCCUCAGCUGAAGGGUCCUUCUCCAGGGCCUGAGAGUGCUCCCUCCAUAUGAAAAGACACUCCCUUCUUUCUGCUUGCAAAGGGCUUCACGUGCACUUUUCUACCCAGCUUCCCCACGAUCCCCAGGGGCAGGUAUCAGUCUAUUGAUUUUACUGAUGGUGAGCCGGAGACUCAGCGACUCUGGGAACUGAGAGGCAGGUGGGAGGUGGUGACGAGAGGACCGGCCCCAGGUCCAUCUGAUUCCGGCUCAGCACUGCUCCCCAGCUCCUCUGCUUUCCCAUCCAUGCAUCCUUGGCUCUGGCAUCACUGGGUGGAGCCCACUAGCCUGAGAUCCAGGUGAGCAGUCACCGCUCAGGCCCCUCCAGUGACAUGGUAUCCACUCCAUGACUCCACCGGAGAAGGCAAUGGCACCCCACUCCAGUACUCUUGCCUGGAAAAUCCCAUGGAUAGAGGAGCCUGGAAGGCUGCAGUCCAUGGGGUCGAUAAGGG
ensembl:lncRNA